rnacentral:rRNA from 1 species
GACGAACGCUGGCGGCGUGCCUAAUACAUGCAAGUAGAACGCUGAAGGAGGAGCUUGCUCUUCUGGAUGAGUUGCGAACGGGUGAGUAGCGCGUAGGUAACCUGCCUGGUAGCGGGGGAUAACUAUUGGAAACGAUAGCUAAUACCGCAUAACAGUAGAUGUUGCAUGACAUUUACUUAAAAGGUGCAAUUGCAUCACUACCAGAUGGACCUGCGUUGUAUUAGCUAGUUGGUGGGGUAACGGCUCACCAAGGCGACGAUACAUAGCCGACCUGAGAGGGUGAUCGGCCACACUGAGACUGAGACACGGCCCAGACUCCUACGGGAGGCAGCAGUAGGGAAUCUUCGGCAAUGGACGGAAGUCUGACCGAGCAACGCCGCGUGAGUGAAGAAGGUUUUCGGAUCGUAAAGCUCUGUUGUAAGAGAAGAACGAGUGUGAGAGUGGAAAGUUCACACUGUGACAGUAUCUUACCAGAAAGGGACGGCUAACUACGUG